ensembl:lncRNA
UCUUCCUCUCUUUCCUUCUUUCCUUCCUUCUAUAAAUAGCUACCAAAUGUUGAGUGUUAGCAUCAUGCUAAGGAUGGUUCAUAGAUAUUUGCAUUGAAUCCCUGCAAUUACUGUCUGAAAUGGAAAUAACUUGCUAUCUUACUUCAAGCUCCUGCUUUGACUACCACACUCUACUGCUUCCAACAAAGGGUUUUUUGUGUGUUUUUUUUUUUUUUUUUUCCCCAAGGAACCAUUGUUUGGGGGCAUAGCCUCUAGUUCAGAGGGAUACUUAGAAACGGAAAAUGUUUCCUUUACUUGUCAAAGAAGUUGUUGGGAAAUCUAUAGGCCAGGGUAAAGGAAGUACAUGGCUCAUUAGCAGCAGAAGAAAUACAGAUUAAGCCAGUUGGUCUUAUUACAUUUCUAUAAUAGGGGUAGAGCAGGCCACGCAGUCAUUAUCUGGACACGCUUAGCACUGUUCUCGCGAGACCCUGAGCACUGUUCUCGCGAGACCCUGAGCUCUGAGGUUUGAGGAUCAGCUCUACUAACAGUCAGCUUCACUGUGGUCCUCGUGGCAGAGAGUGUAGUGUGAGGUGGAUUGCAGCCUUCUCCUGAAGCCCUCCAGGCCUAGAGGCCAGCAGCUUGAACAUCUGGAAGUUCAUGGUUCACAUAUUGCUGAUGCCUGGCUUGGAGAAUUUUGAACAUUACUUUGCUAGCGUGUGAGAUGAGUGCCAUUGUGUGGUAGUUUGAACAUUGUUUGGUGGCCAAGAGGAGCUUCCCCUUACCCAAGUUCAGGGGUGGUGGUGGAGAGGAGCUACCCCACGCCCGAGGUCAGUGGCAGCGGCUGAGAAGAGCUACCCCAUGGUGAGGUCAGGGGCAGCAGCCUAGAGGAGCAACCCCACGUCCAAGGAGCGGAGGCUGCACAGGCGCAGGAGGGCUGAGAGGAGCUACUUCACGUUCAAGAUCAGGAAGGGCAGCCGUGAGGAGAUACCCCCAUCCAAGGCAAGGAGCAGUGGCUGCGCUCUGCUGGAGCGGCUGUGAAGAGAUACCCCACGUCCAAGAAUCUUUAAGGUUACAAGAAUCAUGCACUAGAGGCUAUUUCUCCUUGUUUCAGAAAGAUGAGGAACUUGAUCAGAAGAGUGAGAGGUUCACUCUGGAAUUCUCUCAUGGGACUCUUCAAUUAAGUUGUUGUGACAUUUAAUACAACCCUCAUGAUUUAUGAGAAGUCAGAGAAUCCUGGAUGUAGAACUGCAAGAGGAAAGCAGGUUUUACGGGCUUGUGGUUUCCUAGGCUCUUGAAUGCUGAAUGCAGCCUGCGCGUUGGCAGCUGGAGAACUCGAAAGAAACCACGGGAUUGGAAUUGAUUAGUUCCUGUUAGUCCCCCUCUUCCGCCAAUACCAGUACCUGUCUCUUGAUAAAUAGACACAUGAACACAUUCUAAACACAAGGUCCUCGACAGCAAGCAAUAAAAAUGUGCCUUGACCCACUGAAA